rnacentral:lncRNA from 1 species
CUCCUCCGCUCCUCUCCCUUCGUGGCGGGCGUCCGCGUCUCUGGUCUGGAGAGAAGGCUCCGAAAUCCGUCUGCGCGAAAACAGCGUGGCAGCUGUCCCAUGCCAUAGUCCCAUCACUGGAGAGGCUGAGCCAGCAGCUCCCCAGCGUAGGAGUUCAUUGCCACCCUGCGCAGUAUACUGAGACCCCCACCCAUCUCAGGAAACAGGAGAGCAAGAAAAGAAAGGAUCUCACACAACAUUGCGUGAGGAGGAAAACAUUCAUGCCUGGCUUACAGAUGGUUCUGCACAGUAUGCUGGCAUCAACAGAAAGUGGACAGCUGUAGCCCUAGAGCUCCACUCCAGAGUGGCUCUGGACAGUGGUAGAAGAAAUCUCCCUGGUGGGCCAAAUGCUGAGAGGCACAUUUGUUUGUCCGUUUCGUCUGAACUAGAGAUGGCCAGGAGCAGGGAGCUGUAUGGACUCAUAGGCAAGUGUCUUUCUGAAGGGAAAGAUGUUUGAUUCAAUAUGAACACUCACUGUGUUAGGUUUGCUACUGAAACAAAAUACCUCUGAUAAUGAGUUUGAAAAGAGAGGACAAUUAUUCUGGUCCACAAAUUUAGAGGUUUGG